CUGUGGUACACGUAAUCCUGCAAAGAGUUUGACUGCUGAGACACCCUAUUGAGAUAUUAUUCAAAUCGCCAUGCUGUCUUCAACGUGUUGAUUCUCUACAAAUCAAGUAUAAUAAGGUACAAAGUGUUCAUAUGUUAUUAGUUAAGUUGUUAAAUUGUGAUUGAAGUUUUAUUAAGCCAUUCUAUACCGAAAAUUACCGAAAAUAAAAGAUCGAACCUUUAGUAUCGAGUCACACGACAAUGAUACUGAGCAUGCUUGUCUUAAAACGAUGGAAAAUAUCUCAGUAGAUCUUUUAGAACUUUAUCAGAAUGUCAAUAAAGGUUGUAUCUUUUACUCCA